AACGCUAGCUACAGGCUUAACACAUGCAAGUCGAGGGGCAGCGCAGUGUAGCAAUACAUGGGCGGCGACCGGCGCACGGGUGCGUAACGCGUAUCCAACCUUCCCGUUACUCAGGGAUAGCCUUCCGAAAGGGAGAUUAAUACCUGAUGGUGUUUGAAUUCCGCAUGUUAUUCAAACUAAAGAUUUAUCGGUAACGGAUGGGGAUGCGUGACAUUAGAUAGUAGGCGGGGUAACGGCCCACCUAGUCUACGAUGUCUAGGGGUUCUGAGAGGAAGGUCCCCCACACUGGAACUGAGACACGGUCCAGACUCCUACGGGAGGCAGCAGUGAGGAAUAUUGGUCAAUGGUCGGAAGACUGAACCAGCCAAGUAGCGUGAAGGAUGAAGGUUCUAUGGAUUGUAAACUUCUUUUAUACGGGAAUAAAACCUCCCACGUGUGGGAGCUUGUAUGUACCGUAUGAAUAAGCAUCGGCUAACUCCGUGCCAGCAGCCGCGGUAAUACGGAGGAUGCGAGCGUUAUCCGGAUUUAUUGGGUUUAAAGGGAGCGUAGGCGGGAUAUUAAGUCAGUCGUCAAAGCCUGUGGCUCAACCACAGCCCGCGAUUGAUACUGGUAACCUUGAGUGCAGAUGAGGUGGAUGGAAUUCGUGGUGUAGCGGUGAAAUGCUUAGAUAUCACGAAGAACUCCGAUUG
rnacentral:rRNA from 1 species